rnacentral:lncRNA from 1 species
AUGAGCUCAGGAGGAAAUGUGGGCCUCUCUGACUUCAGACUACGCCUCUCCCAAGAGAAUCCAGCCCAGGGUCUGAUAGGGAGGAAAGGAGGAGUUGGUCAUGGUCCUGAGACAGGGCAGGCUGGUAGUAUGAGACCCCUGAGGGACACGGGACCAUCUGGCCUCAAAGAGAAGAAGGGGCGUGCGCAGUUAUAUACUAACAUCUGGCAACAACUGGCCAUAACUGUUAUUCAGAGUGUUUGGAGAAGCUUCAAAUGGAUGCCUACAAAGUUUUGAGUAGAAAGUACUGCAUAAUAGGCUGAGGUUUAUGUUAUGUUUCAAGUAUCUGGGAAGCAUCCUUUUCGUAAAGGCAGAUAUUUAAUUCAAAAACUAAUGCUGUUAUAUUUUAAGGAAAUUUAUCUUUAUAAUAUCUGGACUUGCCUCAGAUUUUAGAGGAGCCUCCUAAUUCUCCUCUAAAUUACCUUCAUGGAAAUAUGAGUGCCUGAACUUUCACCAAUAAUAAAAAAUGGAAAAUAAAGGAAUGAAAGACUGUUUUGAAUGAGGACUUAAUGCAAAGUGUCCUGCAAGGAAAAAGUAGCAUAUUAUGAUGACUAAAAACCAUCGACACAUUGGUUUUUUUUUUCCAUUAAAGUUUUAACCCAAUAUUUUGAUAGGAUCUGUGUAGAGAAAGUGAACCAAUACAUUGGUGGCUUUCUAACAAGGAAGAGUGAACUGAGAAAGAGACCCUAGGAAAGCAGAGGGGAGCUAAGUGCUUGGUGGAGGGUGGAGGGCAUGACCAGCCAUAAUGGGAGCAGUUAGGAAGAGCCAGAGAUUAAAACAACAGCAAUGACAAAACAACUUUGCUCACUUCAGAAUUAUGAUUUUCCUCUCAUCUGUUAUUCCACAUCUGUUCAGGCUAUGCUGCAGAUGUUUGAAAAUUGUCCUUCUAUGUAGUAAUGAUAGCUAUAAAAAUAAGACUUGGAUUAAAAUAACCAUAACUUAAGUUUAUGCAUGGAAAUGUAUAAGUCAAUACCAUCCUGAGAAUAAAAUAAUUCAAAACAUGUUUUAGGGAUGGUUUGCAUGAUGAAUUUUCUGUGGAUGUUCAACCAUGCUAAACCAGAACUUUUUUUGUUUAUUGUUUUUUGUUUUUGAGAGCAAGAAACGGGGAGAGGGC